AUUAGAUACCCUGGUAGUCCACGCAGUAAACGAUGAAUGCUAAUUGUCCGUUGCGAAUGAGCGAUGGGUGAUACAGCGAAAGCGUUAAGCAUUCCACCUGGGGAGUACGCCGGCAACGGUGAAACUCAAAGGAAUUGACGGGGGCCCGCACAAGCGGAGGAACAUGUGGUUUAAUUCGAUGAUACGCGAGGAACCUUACCCGGGCUCAAACGCCGUCUGACGUAGGCUGAAAGGCUUAUUUCUUCGGACAGACGGCGAGGUGCUGCAUGGUUGUCGUCAGCUCGUGCCGUGAGGUGUCGGCUUAAGUGCCAUAACGAGCGCAACCCCUGUCGACAGUUGCUAACAGGUUAGGCUGAGGACUCUGUCGAGACUGCCGGCGCAAGCUGUGAGGAAGGCGGGGAUGACGUCAAAUCAGCACGGCCCUUACGUCCGGGGCGACACACGUGUUACAAUGGCAGGUACAGCGGGAAGCCACCCGGCGACGGGGCGCGGAACCCGAAAACCUGUCUCAGUUCGGAUUGGAGUCUGCAACCCGACUCCAUGAAGCUGGAUUCGCUAGUAAUCGCGCAUCAGCCACGGCGCGGUGAAUACGUUCCCGGGCCUUGUACACACCGCCCGUCAAGCCAUGGGAGCCGGGAGUGCCUGAAGGCCGUGACCGCAAGGAGCGGCCUAAGGUAAAACCGGUGACUGGGGCUAAGUCGUAACAAGGUACC
rnacentral:rRNA from 1 species